UAGGGAGGAAUUUAAACCUUCCCCCAACCUUUGUCCUGGAAUGCUGAGUUCUGCCCCAGGACUCGCAGGAGGCUGGGGCUGUCUGUGCAGAGGCCCUAACUCCUCUCCCGGCACUGCUGUUUAAGGAUGCUCCUUAAAGCGGGAAUUCUCUCGAGUGGAGGGGUCCAGCAGAAAAGCUUCUUUUAAUACAAUUUAGCAGCUGGAAACAAGGAAGAGAAACCAGCACCAUAUGACCAACCAGCUGUCCAGGGACUGCCAUCACUCUGUUCUCGGAGGGAAAGGAAGAGAAAAUGAAACCUACAGGAACUCUAAUUCUGAUUACAGGAACAUCAUGGAAAGUACAGAUUACAUUGGUCUACAGUUUUUGAGAAGUCGUCUGCUUCAGAGAUAAAAUGUGCUAUUUAUUAUGUAUUUUGAUGUGCUGAAUUCAAAUAUAACAAUUAAAACAACUGAUUGGC